GCCGGGGCUGCGGUGACAGCGCUAACACUUCCCAGAGCCGAGGACCCCGCCGCCGGAAUGGCAUUGCCCACCCUGAAAGUGAGAAGAUAAAUCCUGCGAACUCCAGUGCAGAUUUGUCUGGAAAAAAUGCUGAAGGAUCAUUCUGAUAUUUUAUUAAAAUCUAUUGUUUUGAGAAUAUUGCUGGACUGUGCAUUUAUAAUUUUAAUAACAUUUUACUGGGAUGUGGAAAACCUGUGUAGAUCCGAGUGCUAAUGGGGAAGGUUUUGCUAUUCCUGCAAAGGCAAGCUGAGCCCCAGAAAAUAUUUUUCCUUCUGAAUUAAAACAACAAUUUUCUGAGUUACUUUGUACCCCCUAAUAAAUGACAGUUUUUCUUUCUAAGCUUUCCAGAAACAUAACCUGGCUUCUGACCUGGAAUGAAAAGGCAGCACUAAUCCAGCAUUAAAAAUUGAUGCUAAACUUACGCAGAAUUAAAAAUAAAUUGAAAGAAAUUGGUUUUAUUUUUAGCAUUUUGGCAACCUCAGAAUAUGCUUAGCUUUGGUUCUAUGAAAAGCUUUGCACUGAAAAUAUGGUUGGAUAUUAUAAAUAUAAAAUAUAAAGAUAAAAAAUAUACAAAUAUAAAAUAUUUUCUGGUGAUAUAAAUAGGAUUAAUUUUUUGUGUGAUGAUAAAUUGGGUUCUUCAAAAAAAAGGUGAAAAACAAAACUGUAAAAGAUGUUUAACCCUCACUUUAGGUUAAAUAUUGUCUGCUUUGUAUCAAGAAAAGUGCACCACAAGCAUGAGACUGACACCCAGUCUCUGAGCAAAAAAACUCUAAUUUGAUAUAAAAUAUGGAUUUUGUGAAUUUUAUUAAUUCUGUCAAUAAACUACCUGGUUCUUUUUAAAAUCCAAAUUUCUCCAGCGAGUUCCAGACAAAAAUUACACCCCCUUAUUCCUGGCACAUCCCCUGUAACAAAUGGGGGAGUUUGCUGAUGACCACAAACAUAUUGGAAAAAUGUGUAAACCAAAGGCAGGGAUAUUUUCCAAGAGAAACACCUGGAAGGUGUAAAUCAAAACUCUUGUAAACACGUCAGAGGGAACAUACGACAGGCACAGGGCUCGCCGCGCACCCAGCCCACGGAGCUUUGGAAAUCCACAUGGAUAAAUCAGGGAUCAACCUCGGGCUAAUAAACAGCUCUUGUAUGAAAAGGAGAGAUCCUCUGCCCCUGCAGAGACAGCGCAAGAUGGAUUUGGUACCUUUGGAGAAAUCCGGGAGGUCAUUCACAAUAAUGGGAUUUAAAAAAAAAAAUCGCUGCUCGAAGAAAUUUUCAGAGUCAAGCUUGUGUGGCUUUGUGAUUUGUUCAAAUCAGCAGCAAAAUUAGUACCUUUAAUUAUUUAUUUGCUUUCUUAGAAACGCUUUACAAGCAUUUAUUUCCCCGAUUAAACCUUCUUAAUUUUUGAUGAAAUGUGAAGAUCUUUUACACCUACAUGAUAUUUAACAUCUACAUUGUAUUUUACCUCUGCAUGACACUUUACAUCUACAUUAUUUUUACAUCUUAAUUGUAUUUCACAUUCACGUUGUAUUUUCUAUCUACAUUAUAUUUGACAUCUACAUUGUAUUUUCUAUUUACAUUAUAUUUCACAUCUACAUUUUACACUUAAACGGUAUUUUUUAUCUACCUUGUAAUUUAUAUCUACAUCAUAUUUCACAUCUAUGUAAUAUUUUACAUCUAUAUUAUAUUUCACAUCUCCAUUGUAUUUUACACCUACAUGUUAUUUGUUAUCCAUGUUAUAUUUUAAAUUUCCAUGACCAAAAAAUCACAGUGAAGCCAAAGAGACAGAGGAAGAAAUUGGGGGAGCAGAUGCUGAAAAACCACUGCGCUGAAAACCCUCUAAAAUUGGGAUUUUCCCUUAUGGACUGAAAAAAGCCCUAUUAAAAUCCUAUCUUCUGGAAAGCGUCAGGGAGGCAGGAGGUUGGUAAACAUUAUAAAAACAACCCCUCAUAAAAUUUUUAUUGCUUUACAUUUCUGUACGUUUUACGGCCGGCGCGGGGGAAAGGAGCGACAGCGAUUUCUCCGCCUCGAGAGCAGGCAGGAACUUUUUUCCCCCUCACUUUGUGCUCAUCCAAAUAAAUAAAAACGUUGAAGCCUGCUCAUUUCUCAGGCAUUCGGGGGAAUGAUUCCACGCUCAGAAGGAGCCAAGGAAAAGCUGAAGGCUAAAUGAACCUCACAACAUUAAUCUGGCUGUUAUAAACAAGUAUUGUCCUUUUUGGACUCUGUCACAUUUUUGCAAUUUCAUAUUCACAUGUUUUCUGAUUUCCAAAAAAUGGGGAAAACACUGUUAGAAUUAUUAACCCUCGGAAUAAUUAACUCUUGGUAAAAUUAUUAAGCCAGGAAUUUAAAAUUUCUCCCCAAAAUCCAGCGCAGAUGUUUGUUUCCUGAGGAAGUAUUUUUAGCUUCUGAAUGAAACAAGUCACGGACAAAAAAAAGCUUCUCCCUCAGGAUGGACUCUUGGCUCUUCCCACGCUUUGGACCCUCUUUCCUUGGGCUGCCUCACUGAAUUCCUGCAGCCACCCUGGCCAAACAGCGCUGAUGACACACUCUGUGGUCACAUCUGCUCCCUCACCUUCCUCCUGUGACGCCAGGGAAAAACCCAAGAGCCCUCCGUGAUGACGCUCGCCUGCUGUUGAUUUAACCGGGUUUGGGUAAAUCUGUCCUUCUGCAAAUGCUCACCGGGGCAAGCUGUCCCUUCUUGAGCUUGUGCAAAUAGAAUAAGGAUGCAAACAUCUCUGCAAACUCUGGUCAGCUGAAGCCCAAAUAAUCAGAUGGGACGUGAGUGUGUGUGUGGAUUUGUAAUUAAUAGGUUGCAUACUGAGAGAUGUGGGGUCCUGAAGGAACGUGCAAAGGGAAAAUGAUCUAAAACUUGAUCCUGAUUUUUGGUUCAACCUCAACAAUUUCCUGCGGAGAAGCGUUUUUAUUUUAGAGAGAAAUCAGAGCUGUUUCUCAGCAGAGCCAGAGCCUCUCCAUGUUUUCACCAAAACAAACAGAAAGCAGGAACCCAGGACAUCUUUGUCACUGCCACAACUACCCCAAGGAUGCAAACCUGGAAUUAAAAGCCACAUUUAUUUAUUUUUUGGGACAAACCAGGACAUCCGUUAGCGGGAAGAUGACGGAUGGCGCAUCCCAAACUUCUGCUUUGUGCCAGCCCCUCUGUGUCCUCUGCAGAGCACCUCUGAGGGAUAUCUGAGCCAGCACAUCCCAAUGCACAGAAACCUGGAGUGUUUAAAGCCUCCCUUUUCCAUGCCCAUAAAAGUCCAGCAAUCCUGGGAGCGCGGAUGCCUCGCGCAUGGGCCUGGCUGGGGACAGGAUGCCACUCUGGCACUUGGCAGCUGCUGCCUGACGUGGGCAUUUGUCACCCAGAGCCACGUUUGGGAUGUGUUUACAGAGCUCCUAAAGCCUGGCAAAUGGCUUUUCCUGCAGUGCUCAGAGGGUGGGGAUGGGAUAGCUGGCACGUGGGGGAGGUGGGGAUUGAAAAUCCAGCCUUCCCCAGUGGUUUCCUGCAAGAAAAAAAGGAUCACUGCCCUUUCCUGGCCCAGUCCUGCCCUCCAGACCAUUCCUUGGCCA